rfam:Ictidomys tridecemlineatus contig026139, whole genome shotgun sequence.
GGGGUUGUGGCUCAACGGUAGAGCGCUCGUCUAGCACAUUAUAGGCCCUGGGUUCAAUCCUCAGCACCA